AAAGGCACCCAUACACCAAGAGUGGUGGCAAAAAUGAGCUGUAGGCUUGUAUUAGUUGGACAGUGGCUUAUGUAGGAAUAUAACCAAGUUGGUGAUGCUUGAAUAUGUUGUUUUGAGCCAAUUCAAUGCGGAGCUUUUUCUUUACAGUAAUGUGGGUGGUUUUGCAGUGCUCGCACUACUACAAAAAAGCAAAAAGACGACGGUAAAUCACCGUCGUGUAUUCGGUUUUUCAAUGGUCGUGGAAUCCACCGUCAUCUUCUCCCUCAUAAACCACGACGCUAAAUCACCGUCGUUGUUAAAAUAUACAACGUCAUCAACAAAUACAAAACAACGUCUUUGUACUGCGAAAAGAUCUAAAAAAGCAGUCAAGGAUGAGAAUAGACGACCAACUCUCUAAAAAAACCGUCGUUAAAAAGGAAAAAUAUGACACAAGGCCGCAAGAUAGACAUACAACGACGAAAAAUAAAAUAAGACGCCGUUAAAUAUCAUUUUCACGACAAUAAAAAAUAUGACGUCUUUAAAUACAUUAGAAGACGACGUUAUUGAAACAUACUACGUCGCCUAUAUAAAAACAGCCGUCGUAAAAUAAAUUUUCCACUUCGAUUUUUCUAUAAAAGAUGACAUGGAAAUAGUUGUCAGUGUCACUACUUACGACGUAUGUAUUUAUAGAGUAGACGUUGAACGACGAAACAACGUCGGUUACAAAUAUAUGAGAGUCGUAUUACAAAAUUUAUACGUCCUAUUUUCAGAAACAAACAACGACGAUAAAUAUUAGACAUUGUUAAAUAAAACAACGUCGAAAACAAAUAAAAACAGACGCGUUUAGUCUGCUAAAGUUCUAAAAAAUAGUCGAGGAUGAGAAUAGAUGACCAACUCAAACAAAUCACCGUCGUUAAAAAGGAAAAAUAUGACACAUAUUAAAAGAACAAGGCCGCAAGAUAGACAUACAACGACGACAACUAAAACACUAUGCCGUUAAAUAUAAUUUUCACGACAAGAAAAAAUAUGACGUCUUUAAAUACAUGAGAAGACGACGUUAUUGAAAUCUACUACGUCUCUUAUUUACAAACAACCGUCGUGAAAUAAAUUUUCCACUUCGAUUUUUCUAAAAAAGAUGACGUGGAAAUAGUUGUCAGUGUCAUUAUUUACGACGUAUGUAUUUAUAUAGUUGACGUUGAAAUUCAAAACAACGUCGGUGGCAUGUAUAUAGUCGACGUUGUAUUUAUAUGUAUUCAUUACUCACGACGCACUUAUUAAUAUAGACGACGUUGAACUUCUAAACAACGUUGGUUCCAAAUAAAUGAGAGCUGUAUUACAGAACAUAUAGACGGCGUUGAUUAUGAUGAGAGCCGUAUUACAAAUAACGUCAUUUAAUUGAUAUUAGACGGCGGUUAUGAUGAAUUACCGUCGGAAUUCAUUUCGUUCCUCUUCGUUUAUAAAAGAACUUGCGACGUGGAAAAUGUAUGAUGACGUCGUAUUUUUUAACGUUCAGAUUAUAUAUCUCGUUUUUUAGACGUCGGUAUUAUGGGAUUGGAGUCGUGUUAUUUUGAAUUACAUGGCGGUUCUUAAUCCUUCCCCGACGUGAUAUCCUGAAUAAUUGCUUCACAAUAGCGUCGUGGUUCUUCAUUGUUACGUUGCUUUAAGACGUCGGUAAAUAUGCUGAAUAACUGGUUCACAAUAACGUCGUGUUUUAUUUGAACGUAGAAAGUGAAGAAAUCACAUUACAAUAUAUUACAAAAUUAAUGUCAUACACUGCCAAUUACAUAAGCAUCAUUCAAUCCAUAUAUCUUCACACCCAUCUCGAAUAUUUUGACCGCCUAACUCACCCACCAGUUCAUCAAAUGUGUCAACAUUUGGCAUCCCUCUAGUAAAUGGCUCACACUCAAUUAUCACAUCACCUAAGACUUCAUCACCAAUAACAUCAUUAUAUUCUCUAUUAGGCAUUGAUAACACUACCGACCAACCACGAUGCAUCGGGUCGUCAACAAAAAAUAUUUGUUUGACUUGAGAAGCCAAAACAAAUUGGUCAUUCCUAUGUCCAAUUUUACUCAAAUCUACAAGGGUAAAUCCAAGUUCGUCGACUACAAGACCAGAACUAUCUAUCCAAUCACACCUAAAGACUGGGAUUGUAAACUUUUGGUAGUCAAGGUCCCAAAUUUCUUGAAUGACACCAUAGAAACCCAUAUUUGAGAGAAUUGGGUUUUUAUCCUUGGCACUAGCAACUUGCAUGGUAUGUGCAAGUAAAUAAACUCCACUAUUUUGAGUUGUCCGCACAUCAUCUUGUGCCUUGAUAUUGAAUUUAAUACCUUUAAUAAGAUAGCUCCUAUAUAAUGGCACUGACAUGUUUGGACCAGCUGCUAGCCACCUUAAAUUUUCUGAUACGCCAUGAUUGUCUUCCUCAAGUUCACUUUGAACCUGCAAAUUAAUCAUAUCUUAAUUCAAUCUAACAUAUAAAUAAGAAGAAAAUUAAAAGAGAAAUAUGUUAUUCAACAACAUAUACCUUGAAGCGUAGCCAUUGAAUGAAAGUGCUAUUGUGCUUAUCCUGCAGCCACUUUGUUCUCUUUCUAAAUUUUGGAUAAGCAGUCUUGAUGUGGAUCAUAUGUUGCCUACAUGACACGAAAAAUUCAAGCAUUACGGUCCCAAAUAUAGAAGAUAAACAUAAGAAAUAAUUUAAAAUGGAAACUUAAAGAAUAAAACUCAUACGUACUCGAUAUAAGGUAGGACUUCCUCCGUAUUCUCCAAGACAUAUAGAUGUGCUUGAUUCAACAGGUCCUGAUCAACUACGCUCACUGUGCAACCUGAUAAUGGCUUUGAAAGUCCCAUCUUUUGGCUUGAAGGCACUCCAACUGUACUAACAUCAGAUAAAUGCUGAGUACAAAACUCUACCGCUUCUUCAGCUAUAUACCGCUCAGCAAUGCAACCUUCGGGACGAGUACGAUUCUGAACAUACCCCUUCAGCACUUUCAUAUAUCUUUCAAACGGAUACAUCCACCUAAAAUAUACUGGCCCACAUAGACGAACUUCUCUGACAAGAUGUACUACUAGAUGAACCAUGAUAUCAAAGAAUGAAGGGAGAAAGUACUUCUCAAGCAAACACAGAGUAACUACUACAUCUUCUUCCAACUUAUCUAGCUUGGAAACAUCAACAGUCUUUGCACAUAUAGCAUUGAAGAAGAAGCACAAACGAGUUAUUGCAUACCUUGCAGGCUUCUCCAAAACAGAACGAAUUGCCACAGGGAGCAAUUGUUGCAUUAAGGUAUGACAAUCAUGUGAUUUAAGGCCAAGAAUUCUUGAAUCUUGUAAAGAUACAAGAUUUUUAAUAUUUGAAGAAUAACCUUCAGGGACCUUCAUACCAUAGAAAGAAUUGCAAACCUCUCUCUUCUCUGCUCUUGACAAAUUCCAAGGCCCAUGAGGCAAACGAGUACGUCUUUCUCCAUACUUGGGUUGCAAAUCAGUUUUGACCCCCAUGUUCAAUAAAUCUAAUCGAGCAGCAAUCCCAUCUUUAUUUUUUCCAGGGAUCUCCAGCAAUGUACCAAUGAUACUAUCGCAAACAUUCUUCUCAAUGUGCAUAACAUCUAGGGCAUGCCUCACAGGAAGGUAUUUCCCAUACUCGAGAUCAAAGAAUAUUGAUUUCUUCUUCCAACAAACUCUGUCACCAUUUUCAACCAUAUGCAGCACUUCUUCUCCGGUUAAUGGCUCGGGAGGUAUGCCAUAUUCAGGUUUCCCAUUAAAAGCUGCACGUUGCCUCCUAUAUGGAUGAUUGAUUGGUAACCAUUUUCUAUGCCCAAUGUAACAAAUUUUGUGGCCAUUUUUCAACCUGUGACUAGGUGUAUCAUUGCCGCAUAUUGGACAAGCUUUAUAUCCUUUAACAACACAACCAGAUAAGUUUCCAUAGGCGGGGAAAUCAUUAAUUGUCCACAUUAAUGCAGCUCUGAGUGUAAAGUAUUCUCCAUUAUGUGCAUCAUACACUCCUCUAAUCCCAUCCCACAAAGAUUUUAAAUCAUCAAUCAAAGGCUCCAAGUAGACGUCUAUAUCAUUUCCGGGUUGUUUAGGACCGGAAAUCAAUAAGGUUAACAUCAUGAACUUUCGUUUCAUGCACAGUCAUGGAGGGAGAUUAUAUGUAACUAAGAUAACCGGCCAACAACUAUAUCUGCUACUUAGAGAACUGUGGGGAUUGAAUCCAUCAGAUGAAAGAGCCAAUCUCAAGUUUCUCGGCUCAUUACCAAACUCAGGCCAUUUAUCAUCAAGAAGUUUCCAAGACGGGGAAUCCGCCGAAUGAGACAUCUGACCGUCAAUUGAUUUUCUAGCAGCAUGCCAAGUCAAACUCUUAGCUGUCUCAUGUGAUUGAAGCAUCCUUUUAAACCUUGGAAUUGGAGGAAAAUACCACACCACCUUCGCUGGCACACCCUCUUUCAAGAUUGAAUCUUUGCCUUCCUUCCACCUUGAGAUACCACAAGUAGGACAAUUAGUUGAAUCCUCAUACUCCUUCCUAUACAAGAUGCAAUCAUUGGGGCAUGCGUGCAUUUUCUCAUAACUCAGCCCCAAUGCACACAAAGUCUUUUUAGCCUCAUACAUAGAGGUUGGUAUUGUAUUUCCUUCUGGAAGCAAAUCGCCUUGAAGUAUCAAUAAUUCUGUAAAACAGACAUCACUCAUCCCAUGUUUUGCCUUCAAAUUAUACAACUUCACUAAUAACGAUAACUUCGUGUACUUUCUACAACCAGGGUACACUGGUUGAUCUCCAUCCCCAAUCACAUUGGCAAACUCAUACGGAUCGGAACCAAAAUCACCAAAAUCAUUAUCAUCCAUAUCAAUUUCUUCAGACACAAAACUGUACCUACUAUGGCCAUCAUCUUCUUCAACAUUUCUACUAGCAUUAGUAGUUGCUUCCCAAGGUUCUCCGUGAAAUGUCCAAUUCUUAUAGCUUUGGUCAAUUCCAUUAAAGUAUAAGUGAUCCCUUAUAAUUCCAACCCCAAACAACUUCAAAUUAACACAUUUAACACAUGGACAACGUAUAUGUGUUGUAGUUAGAAGAUUUUCUACAGCAAAGUUCAAAAAUGCUUCCACCCCAAACUCAUAUGCCUUCGAUCUUCUAUCCGAGUGCAUCCAUGAAUUAUCCAUCUCCGACACUAUAACCUAUUAUCUAUAAUAAAGUGAAAAUACAGGCAAUGACCAUCACUAUAGCAGAUUAUACAAAGAUCUAAUAGCAAGUAAUACACAACAGAGACGACGGGUUUUAAACAAAAACAGAAGUAUUUGACAUAUAUAGACGACGGAUUUUCAACAGACGUCGUCUAAUAUAAGUAAUACAAACGACGGUUUAUGAAAAUACCGUCGUGUAUAAGUAAUACAACGACGAUUUUUUCAUAAACCGUCGUGUAAUCGUCGUCGUAUGCCUAAAAAGGCGUCGUGUCUCAGUUUAUUUUCAAGAACCCAAAACCCAUUAAGAACACAACAUAUAUAUGAAACCAAGCAAGAAACCAACAUAUACAUGAAACCAAGCAUGAAAACAAUAAAUCCAUUCCCAAUUCAACAUAACAUAGGGUGAUUAAAAGAUCCGACAAAAUUAAUCCAUUCCCAAUUCAACAUAACAGAUAAUGUAAUCCAUGAACCCAUUAAACAGAAAAUCCAUGAACCCAUUAAACAGAAAAUUCAUGAACCCAUACCUAUAAGCACAUUAUUAACAGAUCGCAAAGCAUAUACCUAAAACCCUUUAACAAAACAACUUAAUAUCAUUCAAUGAAUUUACAAGGGGAAGAUAGGGUUUGUACUUACAGGUCGGACUAGCUCACAGAUUCGACGGAGCCUGGAGAGUGCAACUUUUAAUUAGAGCAGAAGUGAGAGAGCGAAAUGUUAUUUUGCGCGAAAUCUGAAAAUUUUAGGGUUCAGGGUUAGAAGUAUAAGAAUAAGAGCCAAAUACAAAAAAAUUUAGGGCGCGCGAAAAUUUUUAGAGCGCGCGCUCUUUAAAACGUCGAAAGAAAAACCAUGGCGAAAGUUCUACAAGAACCGACGUAAAUGUAAUAUUCCACGACGGAAACACUGAACGUAACGCCGUUUAUUUUGACGCUUCAUUUUUCGGAUUAAUUUUAAAUUUAUUUUGAAUAUUUUGAUAUAAAGACGAUUGAAAAACCACGUCGGGGUUAAGAAAUUGAAAACGUUGUAAAUUAUAAUAGACGACUUACAUAUUAAAAUGACGUCGUUUAAAGUAGAAACCAUGUCGGAUAUUUUACUUCACGACGUAACAUAUGUAUUGCACGACUCAACCACCGUCGUUAACAAUUAAUACCCUAAACCCUUAAAACUAAAUUAUAUAAUUUUAAAAAUUAAGUUUAUAAAAGGGUUUAUGGUUUUACAGCCUAAUAUAUACCCUAGACUACCCAAAAAUUAUACUUUAAAAAUAAACCCCAAUAAAUAACAACCCUAAUCUCUAAACCCUAGACUCUAAACCCUAAACCAUAAAACUAGAAGUGAUUUUAUGACUCAUCAAAACAAUUUUGUUUUGGAUGGUCAUUUUAAAUUUUUAUUAUUCAAAAUGAAUUUUUUCAAGGUUUAGGGGGAAGAAAAUAUAUCAAUGACUUCAUAGGAGUUGACUUUGCAUUUUUCUGAUUUAUUUUAAAUUUAUUUUGAAUAUUUUGAUAUAAAAAUAAUAAAAUAUUCUUAUCACAACAACAAACCACAUCGGUGUUAAUAAAUUGUAGACGUUGUAAAUUGUAAUAGACGACUAAGUUGUUAAAAUGACGUCGUUUAAAUGAGAAACCAUGGCGGAUAUUUAACUAUCCGACGUAAAAUAUAUAUUCCACGACUUAACCGCUGUCGUUACAAAGUACUACCCUGAACCCUUAAGAAAUUGAAGACGUUGUAAACCAUAAACGACUCAAUUGUUCAAAGAACGUCGUCUAAAUAUCCUUUUACGUCGGAUUUGUUUAAAACGAAACAACAAAAAACGACGGCUUUUGACUUUAUCACGUCGUUGGAAAAGUAUUACACGUCGGUUACGCAAUUUGUAUGUUUGUUUUUUUUUUAAUUUAAGAAAACCUCAACAAAUUUUUACAUUAUAUAUUAUAGACAAAAUUUGUACAUUAUACAUAAAUAUCAAGUGUUCAAUAAUUCCCCUAUUCCAGGUGAAGGCAAACAAACUCUGCCCAUUCAUUCCGGACUUCAUCAAUUGCUUCUUAGGGGUAUGGCUCUUCCUGUUUUCCCUUCGCAUACUGCAUAAACAAUGACUAUUAGGGUUUAUAAAUAAAAGGAAAUUCAAUCACAGAUGACCAUAACCGACGUAGUAUAUCUGUUCAACGACGGUAAUUUUACAUGACCGUCGUUGAUAAUACAAAAAACGACGUAAAAUGUAUGAAGGUAAUUUCUUCUUACCUUCUUCUCAAACCCCAAGGAAGGAUCCAUGAUGAUGUCCCUCAUAAAGCGCAUAACAUAAUACCCGCAUUCGACAUUGCUGGGUUGCUUUGGUGUGCCUGAUAGAGUUUUCCAUAUUACUGCCUUACGGCCUGAUCUGGCUAUGUGAGAAUUAUAAAUUUUUAUAGCACUGUUCACGAUGUUUUUGGCCUCUUCAUCGACCACACGAUUUCCUGGCAGAGGAUCCAGAAAAUAGACGGUUUCCCUCUUUGCUCUUACAAUCAGCAAGAUCCAAUGACGGCUGCACAAAAUUAAUAUAAAAACGACGGUUAUUUACAAAAACGACGUAUUAUAAUAUUUCACACGACGAAAUAAAGUAGCAAUCGACGACAUUAUAUAUUUAUCACGACGAUAAAUAACUACCGACGUGGUUAGUAGUUUCAAACGACUCAAUAAAAUAAAACACCGACGUGGUUAGUUUAUACGCUGUCAUUUAUUGAAAAUCAUAAAAAUAAAAUCCUGUUAAGGAGACUAACCCUGGAUUGUAAGGCAUCAUAAAAAUUUGUUCACCGUCGGUCCUCUGAAGUCGAGCUGCUACCAGUCGUGAUCUGUCAGCUAUUGUGCCAGAGCUGGCACUAACUGUAGCAGGGUCGAUAAAGCCAACCAUGCUGCACAUAUUUUCUUGUUUCAAAACAUCGUGUAAGUACCUAAAUAUAUAAAAUAAUAUAAACAAGUCAGCACAAAAAAACACACGACGGUUAUGUAUAACAAAACGACGUAUUAUAAGAUUUCACACGACGUACUGAAAUAGACAACGACAUUAUAAUAUAUUUAUCACGACGGUACAUACUAACGACGUGGUUAGAUAGUUAAGACGACGUGGUUAGUUAGUUAAGACGACGUAAUAAAUAAACCAACGACGUAUUAUUUUAGAAUGACAAACCUCAUAUAUACAGCAAUGACAGUAGCUCCUAUUUCCUCCAUGCCUGCAAAUUGUGUAAUAUCUUCAGGCAGGAGGAAGGUAUCGCGCUCUAGACCAAACACCUCCUUAUCAAUUGUAAAGUGCAGGGUCUUAUCCUGAGGCAUGAGUGUCGUUUCCACAUAACGACAAAGGGAUUUUAAAGAAGAUGGCGCCUCCAUAUUUGAAUAAUCAACAACUUUAGUAACCUGUUUAAAGAAAUAAAAAAAUGACGUGGUAAUUCAAUAAAAACGACGGUUUAAGGAAUAAAACGUCGUCUGAAAAGAAUUUAAACGACGGUGAGAAAACCGUCGUGGUGAAUAAUUUAUUACGUCUUAGAAAAAAAUUCCGUCGUCUAAGUUGUAAACAAACGACGGUUUAAAGAAAAAUAUCGACGUCUAGAAUUUUGAAAAACAAAUAAAAAAGGCAAAGUUAUGUGAACAUACCUGGUCGUCAUCUUCUUUCUCCUUUUCAUCUUGUUUUUCUUCUUUAUUCUCUUCAUCUAUGACGUCGGGAAUGACUAACUCCGUCGUCUAAAAACCACAAAGUUUUAAAAAUUACGACGUUUAAUGGCGUGUAAAACAAGUAAACUAAAUACGACGUGGUAUUGAAAUACAAAUGAUGGUUUAUUUUUAAAAUCGUCGUGGUAUGUAUUUCAAACGACGGUUUUAUUAAUAAUAACGACGUCUAAUGGUUUUAAAAAAAAUAGAGAAUUCAAAGUUCAGAUAUGUUACCUUUUCUUCCUGAUGUUUCCCAUUUUUGGCAAUAUCAUCCUCAAAAUGUAGGGAUCUCACAUCACCUCCAGAGCAACUUGCUUUGUCAGACAUUGAAUUUUUGGGACUUUGGCUAAUUCUGGGUUUAAGCAUGCUUGGAUCAAAAUUGGGAAUUAAUUGGGAAAGCUGACUCAGGAAAUGCUCCCUCUCAGCCUCUACCAAUUGUUUCGUUCUAGCCUCCAUCCUUAAAGCCUCUUCCCUUGCCUUAGCCUCCAUCUUUUUAGUCUCUUCUUGAAGGAGAACUCUUAAACUGUCCUUCAAACGGUCGUCAAAGCUCACUCUCUGUGGUUUGGGUAAAUUGAAAUAUUGCCUUGGUGAGAUCCCAGCACCUACUCCUCUGACUCUGCCUGGAUGCUCGGGGCCCAAAGCCAUGGUCAGCACAUCAUUGCUGCCAGAAACAAUGACUUUGCCUUCCGAGACUUGUUUUUGCAAUUCAUCCUAAAACAAAGAUAUAUAAAAAAGUAAGAACAAAAACACACGACGGUUAUUUAUAUACAAACGACGUAUUAUAUAAUUUCACACGACGCAAUAACAUAUAAAUCGACGUUAUUAUAAUUUAUCACGACGGUAGUUAUACCGACGUGGUUCGUUUUUUAAAACGACGAAAUUAAUAAACCACCGACGUCUUAUGCUUUAUUUACAGAUAACAAAGGGAUGAUUCAAUAUUCACACCUUUAACGACGUUGUUUAAAACAUUUCGACGUAGUAAUUUAAUACAGACGACGCGAAAAUGAACCACCGACAUCUUAUGCUAUAAUUACAGAAAACAGAGUUGUGAUUCCUGAUUUAGACCUUUAACGACGUUUUUUGAAAUAUGUCGACGUGGUAAUAUCAUUCACACGACGCAAAAUAUAACAUAAGACGUAAUAAGAAUUAUUCACAGUUUAAUAAAAAUUUAAAACAGAGUGAGUAGGCUUACAAUUAAUUUUGCUUUCUCUGCCACCUUUGGAUCAGGGAUGUUACCAUGUUUGUCCUGUCUAGCUCUCUUCCAUAAGGUAGAUCGAUCAAUUUCUACCCCAGGCAUGGUUUCCUCCAAUUGAUCCUCCAAACCAGCAUAUCCUUUUCGAGACAAUCGAUGAUUGUACUCGAGUUUCUCCCUAAUCUGUACAUGCUGAGAAUGCACAGACUCAAAAUAUUUGGAUAACCUUGAAGCUACAAAGGCAUCCCAUUGUGCUUUCUCUAUGAAUUUAUAUGUUUCAGGGGGUUGGCUUAAUCUCUCCCUGUCAUUGGUGUAUGGAAGGAUAUAUUGCCUCGUUAGUGUAGACUUGAAAUCCUUCCAUUUCUUGGCAGCAGAAGCUAACACAGAGCUCUUGCCCCCUUGACCUACCCACAAAAGCAAGGUCAACUGCUUCCCAAAUCUGCUCCUUUAUAUCCUUGGGGAUUUGAGCCCAUUUCAUGUCCACAAGUGGAACUCUGGAGCGUGCCAACACACCAAUGUAGGACUGCAUCUCACUAUGUGCUUGGCCAAUUCCUUUCCCCCUUUUAUUGUACUCAACAAUUGGCCUCAGUUUCUGAAGUUUUCUCUUCACAACACGAGGCAUUGUGCUCAUACCUCGACCAGACUUUGAAUCAUCAGAGAUUGUUGUCGUGCUGGUUGGUUCUGUAUCAGCAGAUGAUGAAGCAAACUUCAUCUUCUUCGAAGACUUCUCUUGAGGAGGUACCAUUCCAAGCUCCUUACCUCCAUUUUUCUUGGAGCCAGAAUCCUUACUUUGGUCUUGGUGAGAAACCAUUUUUACAGACAAAUCUGCAAGUGAAAAUAUUUCAGGAAAAGAUUAAGAACAAACGACGGUUAUUAAUAAAAUACGACGUAUGAUAUGAUUUUAAACGACGCAAUGAAAUAAUCUCAGACGUAAUAAAUGUUUAAAACCAAGGUAAUUAAACAACGACGAAAUAAUUAACUAUAAACGACGUGAUAAUUAACUAUAAACGACGGAAUAUUUAUAUAACGUCGUGGUAUUGAUGUUCACACGACGUCAGUAGUAAUAUACCGUCGUCUAUAUAAGGAUCCAAAACCCUUCUUUCUUUUUCUGUGAAUGUUUUGAUUGCAGAUUUGAUUUUUCUGAACCAUGGUUUUUAUUUUCUAAUUUGAUAAAAUACAAGGCCAAGAAAGAAAGUUUUUGAAUCUUAUAUAGACGACGGUAUUUUAAUAUGACGUCGUGGUAUUAACAUUCACACGAUGUAAAACAAUAAGAUACUGCCGUCUAUAUUAGAUACCAACCCUAAUUUCUUUUUCUUUAUAUUUUAUCAAAUUAGGGAAAAACAAAAACCAUUGUUCAGAGAAAUCAAACCUGCAAUUAAACAAGCAAAUAAAAAAAAGACUAUAAUUUUAAAAACAACUUUGUCAAUUUUCAGACGACGCUAGAACGACUGACGAACCGUCGUGGUCUACAUAUUUAACCACGUAAAUAAGAAGCUACCGUCGUCUUAUUUAGUUGAGGUAGUUGUCUUCAAAGUUGGAAACUUUCCCUCUUUGUCUGUAUAUUUUAUCGAACUUGGAAAGAAGUAAAAUGAUUUUGGCCAGAAAAAAGGUAAAAAGAUUUUUCAAACAAAAAACGUAUGAGCAUGCAAAACAGCAACCAAAAUAGUGAAAAUGAAAGCUUACCUUUUGCGUGCAAUGAAAGCAAGAGGAAGACGAUCGAUGUUUAAGUUCAGAGACGACGAAGAAGACGAGAGGAAGAUGAUGAGAUACUCUGACAGUGCUCUGACAAGGAAAAAAGUCUAAAAGUUUUCUCUGGGAGAUUGAAAUUUUUAAUCGGGUUUGGAAACAGUGCAUGUGUAAGUCAGGUAGACGAAAAGUUGCUUACAUAUAAAACCAUUUCAAAAAAAUAAUACGGCGGUUACAUAUAACUACGACGUAUAAAUUACAAAAUACGACGGUACAUUUAACUUCGGACGUGGUAAAUAAGUACGACAGUAGUGUUGUAGGUACCGUCGUAGUAAACUCAAAAAUUAAAGUACAUAAGUAAUAACUCGCGUCAUGGUAGAUCAUUUAACACGUCGGUUUUAUUAAUGUACCGACGUGAAUUUCUGUAACAUACGUCGGUCAUACCGACGUUGAUUUUACAAUUUAAACGGCGGUUUUUUUGUAAGGACCGCCGUUGGUUUUAAAAAUUUAUUCUAUAAAUUUGUCGCUUUCAUUCAUUUUCGGUUUACAUUUAGGGUUCCAAGUUCUUCCUCUCUCAGAGACACUGUCUCUCACAUCUCGAAGACAAUAAUUUGGAUGUCUUUCUCAAAGAGAAAUUGAGCUUACUCGCAUCAAAUCUAUGUCCACAAGAAGAAGCUUGUCAACUAGCCUUCUCACUUCCUUGAUCAAGCCUGAUAGGACACUUAGUGCUUCUGAAUACUCCUUGCUUUCCAUCAAAAGAGAUGCAAGCCUGGCCUCCACUCGCUGUCGAAGGAAAGUUCGCUUCUCAGGAAAAUCUGAAGAUCAGAUGUGCCUGAUCCUCUGCUUGAUUUUCUUGGCUAAGAAGAUCCGUCAGAUUUGUGAUAGCCUCUUCCUUUAUCCGUAGAGCUUUAGAAGAAGAAGAUGGGUUUCAAGAAUGCGAUAAAGAAUAGAAAUGGCUUCAGAAUGCGAUAAAGCAUGAGCAAUCGAAUCAGUGCUUUGAACUAUACUUUGAACUAUACAAGUCAAUGCUUUGAACUAUACAAGUCCUGCAGAAAGAUAAAGGACCAAACUGUUAAAGAAACUGAAACUGUUAAAGAAACCCUAAACUAACACGACGCAAUAUUUGUUUUGCGACGUGGAAUCUUUUCAUUUAACGUCGUUAGGUUUAAUAUAACCGACGUGGAUUUGAAUUUUUCAAUUAUGAAUAGAAAUUUUUUUCCCGUGACCUUUCAGUUUAUUUUUCAAUUACAGUGCGUUAUAAAUAGAGUUUUUGUUCCGGAGGAAAUUUAAAAUGAAGGAAAUUAAUGUUCUGGAAUAUGUAAAGUUUCUUUUUUGGAUGACAGAUUUCAAUUCUUGUCAUUAAGUAGAUCUACCGACGUAGGAUAAGAAAAUAAAGGAAAAAAUUGUUAACAAAAAUUCUUAUUAAGACGACGGUUUAAAUUAAAGGUACGACGUAUAAAAUGAAUAAAUACGACGUUAAAUUUUAUAGUACGAUUUAAAGAUAACGUCGUAGAACUAUACGAGAAUGACGUCGAUAUAUUUAUAUUUUCCGUCGUUGUACAUUAAUUUAAUACGGCGAUAUUUUGUAUUUUAAAGCCGUGGAUUUGUUUGUAAUUAUAUGGCGUCUUGUACGAAAACCUCGUCAUGUUAUUUUAUGAGUAAAAACGGCGGCUUUUAUUGAAAUCGUCGUCUUCACUUUCUACGUCGGUCGAUUCAUAACUUCUGCCGUUAUUUGUUGGCUUUGAUUUUACACUGCGGAAAUCUGUUUCAAAUAGACGUCGGUUUUUUAAUUAGGUACGUCGUUGUUUUUGAACAGCCAUUUGAAUCUCCAUUUUUAGUUGUCUAAGGUGGUAUUACACGACGGUGUUUUUAGAACCGUCGUCUUUUUAAAAACCACGACGGUUUUCACUUUGACCGUCGUUGUUUUCUGGUCGUCUAUUUCACUUUUUGUAGUAGUGUCGACAGACACAUGGUUCUGCCGUGCACAUUUGUCUACAUUUACACUGCUGUGUACCGCACUCUUAUUAUAAUAAUGCUGUAUGAAGUGAAUUUUUGUUUUUGUUUUUGUUGUAGGGACAUUUGUCAUAAGUUUUACUUGGUUAAUAUUGUAAGUUGUCUUUUUUACUAUGAGAAGCCCCUUGUAAUUUUUGGUGGAUAAAAUUGAACAUUCGACAUCUAUAAUGGCUAUCCCAUCAUG
rnacentral:lncRNA from 1 species